rnacentral:rRNA from 1 species
AUACGAGUGGUCCAAGCGUUAUCCGGAAUUAUUGGGCGUAAAGGGUAUGUAGGUGGUUUUGUUAGUCGUUUGUCUAACCUCCUUGGCUUAACCAGGAAACAGCAAGCGAAACGGCAAGACUAGAGUAUGUUAGGGGUAAGCGGAACUAAUAGUGUAGGGGUGAAAUCCGUUGAUAUUAUUGGGAACACCAAAAGCGAAGGCAGCUUACUGGGACAUUACUGACACUGAAAUACGAAAGCGUGGGUAGCGAAUGGGAUUAGAAACCCCAGUAGUCC